rnacentral:rRNA from 1 species
GACGAACGCUGGCGGCGUGCUUAACACAUGCAAGUCGAACGGCAAGGCCCUGCUUUCGUGGGGUGCUCGAGUGGCGAACGGGUGAGUAACACGUGAGUAACCUGCCCUACUCUUUGGGAUAACUUCAGGAAACUGGGGCUAAUCCCGGAUCGCAUCUCAUGCCGCAUGGUGGGGGUUGGAAAGUUUCGGCGGUUGGGGUUGGACUCGCGGCUUAUCAGUUUGUUGGUGGGGGAGUGGCUUACCAAGGAUGUGACGGGUACGCGGCCUGAGUGGGUGACCGGCCACACUGGGACUGAGAGACGGCCCAGACUCCUCCGGGAGGCAGCAGUGGGGAAUAUUGCACAAUGGGCGGAAGCCUGAUGCAGCAACGCCGCGUGCGGGAUGACGGCCUUCGGGGUGUAAACCGCUUUCGCCUGUGACGAAGCGUGAGUGACGGUAAUGGGAAAAGAAGCACCGGCUAACUACGUG